rnacentral:tRNA from 1 species
GCGCGAUUAGCUCAGGGGGAGAGCACUACCUUGACACGGUAGGGGUCGUUGGUUCAAAUCCAACAUCGCGCACCA